GGGCUCGUAGCUCAGUUGGUAUGAGCGCGGCAUUCGCAAUGCCGAGGCCGCGGGUUCAAAUCCCGCCGAGUCCA
rfam:Arc I group archaeon T1lsi0528_Bin055 AMQ22_contig000050, whole genome shotgun sequence.